AGUUUGAUCCUGGCUCAGAUUGAACGCUGGCGGCAGGCCUAACACCAAGUCGAGCGGAUGAAAGGAGCUUGCUCCUGGAUUCAGCGGCGGACGGGUGAGUAAUGCCUAGGAAUCUGCCUGGUAGUGGGGGACAACGUUUCGAAAGGAACGCUAAUACCGCAUACGUCCUACGGGAGAAAGCAGGGGACCUUCGGGCCUUGCGCUAUCAGAUGAGCCUAGGUCGGAUUAGCUAGUUGGUGAGGUAAUGGCUCACCAAGGCGACGAUCCGUAACUGGUCUGAGAGGAUGAUCAGUCACACUGGAACUGAGCCGUCUACGGGAGGCAGCAUGAAUAUUGGACAAUGGGCGAAAGCCUGAUCCAGCCAUGCCGCGUGUGUGAAGAAGGUCUUCGGAUUGUAAAGCACUUUAAGUUGGGAGGAAGGGCGUARAUUAAUACUUGCUUUUGACGUUACCGACAGAAUAAGCACCGGCUAACUCUGUGCCAGCAGGCGGUAAUACAGAGGGGCAAGCGUUAAUCGGAAUUACUGGGCGUAAAGCGCGCGUAGGUGGUUUGUUAAGUUGGAUGUGAAAUCCCGGGCUCAACCUGGGAACUGCAUCCAAAACUGGCAAGCUAGAGUAUGGUAGAGGGUGGUGGAAUUUCCUGUGUAGCGGUAAAUGCGUAGAUAUAGGAAGGAACACCAGGCGAAGGCGACCACCGACGAUACAC
rnacentral:rRNA from 1 species